AACGAACGCUGGCGGCAUGCCUAACACAUGCCAGUCGAACGAGGCCUUCGGGUCUAGUGGCGCACGGCUGCGUAACGCGUGGGAACCUGCCCUUAGGUUCGGAAUAACUCCCCGAAAGGGGUGCUAAUACCGGAUAAUGUCUUCGGACCAAAGAUUUAUCGCCUUUGGAUGGGCCCGCGUUGGAUUAGCUAGUUGGUAGGGUAAAAGCCUACCAAGGCGACGAUCCAUAGCUGGUCUGAGAGGAUGAUCAGCCACACUGGGACUGAGACACGGCCCAGACUCCUACGGGAGGCAGCAGUGGGGAAUAUUGGACAAUGGGCGAAAGCCUGAUCCAGCAAUGCCGCGUGAGUGAUGAAGGCCUUAGGGUUGUAAAGCUCUUUUAACCGGGAUGAUAAUGACAGUACCGGGAGAAUAAGCUCCGGCUAACUCCGUG
rnacentral:rRNA from 1 species